rnacentral:tRNA from 1 species
GGGAGAGUCGUACAACUGACAGUACAAUAACCAAAGAAUGCGGGUUUGAGUCCCGCCUCUCCUUCUCGUCA